rnacentral:rRNA from 1 species
AGCACUUUGAAGAGAGAGUUAAAGAGGACGUGAAACCGGUAAGGUGGAAACGGAUAGAGUCGGCGUAUCAUUCAAUUAUUCAGUUACAUUAUUUUUAUGUUGUGACCUCUGAGCUCCAGAUUGGGACAGAGGGAAUCAGCAUAAUUUUUUGUGGUGCAUUUACUUGAUUGGUGCUUGGGGAUGUUUGAGGCAGAUUUGUUUCCGUCGUUUUGAGGCCAGCUUGCUGGUACCCAAACGGUGUUAGCAUUUUUUGUCUUGGGCAUUUGAGUAUGGCUCACGUGUAUUUAUUGGUCAGAUCUGAGUGUAAGUUACGGUCGCAUGCGACACGUGCUUUUCAAUUAGUUCGGUCCAGUUAAUGCUCUCGUACUCGUUCCCCAUGUAAAAGCCGGUCAUCUAUCCGACCCGUCUUGAAACACGGACCAAGGAGUUUAUCGUGUGCGCAAGUUUUUGGGUGUUAAAAACUUAAAAGCGAAAUGAAAGUAAAUGACUCUUUAGAGUCUGAUGUGCGAUCUUGUAAAAAAGUGCAGCAUGGCCCCAUUCUAACUGUUUACAGUAGGGUGGCGGAAGAGCGUNCACGGUGAGACCCGAAAGAUGGUGAACUAUUCCUGAGCAGGACGAAGCCAGAGGA